CUGGACCAGAACAGGACCCUGGAUGUUCAGCUGUACCCAGUCUAUACUCUGACCUCAGUCAUAACACUGUUUUACUGCUCUAGGGGAUCCCCCCCCCCCACAGUGAAACCUCCGUCAUUCUCUACAACCUAUCAACUACCUGGACCCCAGUGGAGGCUGGUGGGAGGAGCUAUACGAGGACGAGCUCAUUGGAAUAGCUGGAAUGGAAUAAAUGGAAUGGUAUCAAACACAUCAAACCUAUGGAAACAACAUGUUUUAUUUAUUCCAUUCCUGGACAUUACAAUGAGCCCGUCCUCCUAUAGCUCCUCCCACCAGCCUCCACUGCUGGGCACAGAUGAACCACCUUGCCUAUCGAGGUGGGACCAGACAGACACUGGGAACAGGACAAAAACACACAUCUACAGACGGAAUAUACAGGAAGUCCUGCAAUAACCAACGACAGAUCAGAUGUGUGAUAUCAGGAUCCAUGGACUUUCUCCAAACCUCUCUGAACCAAUCGAUACAAGCAG
rnacentral:lncRNA from 13 species